rnacentral:tRNA from 1 species
GGAUUAGUGGUCUAGUGGUAUGACACAGCUCUUUCAUGGUUGUUAGCAUGGGUUCGAAUCCCGUUUAGUCCG